rnacentral:misc_RNA from 1 species
GACAAUAGCUACAAAACGACAACUCGAAGUCCAUAUCAUCAUGCUACCUGCAAGACUAAUGUUUCUCUCUCUCUCUCUAGACUUUAUCCUCGUUCUGAUUCUUGAAUCGUUCGCCCAAAAUUACAAAAUUAAAACAAAAGCCUACAAACCCUAGAAGGCUCUCCACAAAUCGUGUCUCAGAUCAUCUCAAGGUCUUUAUCAUCGCUUCUCUCAAUUCCUUUUUUCUCUUUAUGCCCUAAUUUGGUUUUUCAGGUUUUCAUUUUCUUUUAAUUGUAUAUAUGUCUGCAGCUUUGGAGGUCAAUAGGGAAAUAUUUUUAGAGAGAGAGAGAGAGA